rnacentral:rRNA from 1 species
GAUCGCGCCGACACGGGCGGUUCAUCGCCGCCGAUAUCACGAGAAGUCCACUGAACCUUAUCAUUUAGAGGAAGGAGAAGUCRUAACAAGGUUUCCGUAGGUGAACCUGGGGAAGGAUCAUUAUCGAU